GACGAACGCUGGCGGCGUGCCUAAUACAUGCAAGUAGAACGCACAGUUUAUACCGUAGCUUGCUACACCAUAGACUGUGAGUUGCGAACGGGUGAGUAACGCGUAGGUAACCUGCCUGGUAGCGGGGGAUAACUAUUGGAAACGAUAGCUAAUACCGCAUAAUAUUGAUUAUUGCAUGAUAAUUGAUUGAAAGAUGCUAUUGCAUCACUACCAGAUGGACCUGCGUUGUAUUAGCUAGUAGGUGAGGUAACGGCUCACCUAGGCGACGAUACAUAGCCGACCUGAGAGGGUGAUCGGCCACACUGGGACUGAGACACGGCCCAGACGCCUACGGGAGGCAGCAGUAGGGAAUCUUCGGCAAUGGACGAAAGUCUGACCGAGCAACGCCGCGUGAGUGAAGAAGGGUGUCGGAUCGUAAAGCUCUGUUGUAAGAGAAGAACGGGUGUGAGAGUGGAAAGUUCACACUGUGACGGUAUCUUACCAGAAAGGGACGGCUAACUACGUG
rnacentral:rRNA from 1 species